rnacentral:rRNA from 1 species
CCUACGGGUGGCAGCAGUGGGGAAUAUUGGGCAAUGGGCGCAAGCCUGACCCAGCAACGCCGCGUGAAGGAAGAAGGCUUUCGGGUUGUAAACUUCUUUCGUCAGGGAAGAGUAGAAGAAGGUACAUGACGAAUAAGCCACGGCUAACUACGUGCCAGCAGCCGGGGUAAUACGUAGGUGGAAAGCGUUGUCCGGAUUUACUGGGUGUAAAGGGCGUGUAGCCGGGUUGACAAGUCAGAUGUGAAAUCCUGAGGCUUAACCGCAGAACUGCAUUUGAAACUGUUGAUCUUGAGUACUGGAGAGGCAGACGGAAUUCCUAGUGUAGCGGUGAAAUGCGUAGAUAUUAGGAGGAACACCAGUGGCGAAGGCGGUCUGCUGGACAGCAACUGACGGUGAGGCGCGAAAGCGUGGGGAGCAAACAGGAUUAGAUACCCCUGUAGUC